GCAUUCAUUCUACGGUAGUUUCUAUGUAAACAUGGCGGUUUCCACUUGGACGGAUUCUUUGCGGAGUAUUCCUGACUCGAUUAGUGCGUCAUUUCUGCCUGAUUUUGAGAAAAUAUCAUCGACAACAAUGGACAGAGGAGUUAACAAGUUCAUGUCAUCAUUUUUGGACGAGUUAAGGGUAUUUGAGCCACGCGAAGCCUCCAAAGUUGUGCAGGUCACCGCAAAAUGCUAUCGGUCGAUGAGGAAAACGGCAGACCCUCACUCCCUCAGCAUUAAUAUAGAUGUGGACAAGAUAACUGAUGCCUAUUGUUCUUGCAAGGCUGGACUUGGGGGUCAUUGUUCACAUAUUAUAGGCCUCCUCAAGACCUUGCAGUAUUUCAAACUGCAAAGUUUUUCCUCAAUCCCUGACCGAUUGAGCUGCACCAGUAUGCCACAAGCUUGGGGAGCACAAUCAGCUCGGGGUUUGAGGAUUGAACCCGUGCCCAUCAACCACCUCACUCUAGCACGAAACGUGACUCACCGCAAGCGCAGACCGAAGGAAUGCAGUGUGGACUUGAACAAAAUAGUGACAAAGGUUGAACCCGAGGAGAUAGCUGCACUGAAAUUAUUACAUGGUACUCCAUUGACAUAUAUGCUGACGCCUUCAGCACCAACU